rnacentral:rRNA from 1 species
CUUUAAGUUUCAUGACUUUUAGAUUAAAGUUUUAACGGUAAAAGAUGAGCAUGCGUCCUAUUAGUUUGUAGGUGAGGUAACGGCUCACCUAGACUACGAUAGGUAGGGGCCCUGAGAGGGGGAUCCCCCACACUGGUACUGAGACACGGACCAGACUCCUACGGGAGGCAGCAGUAAGGAAUAUUGGACAAUGGACGAAAGUCUGAUCCAGCCAUGCCGCGUGCAGGAUGAAAGCCCUAUGGGUUGUAAACUGCUUUUAUACAGGAAUAAACUCUCGUACGUGUAC